rnacentral:lncRNA from 1 species
CCACACAAAAACCAGUGCACAGAGGUUUACAGCAGCUUUAUUCAUAGUUUUCAAAAUUUGGAAGCAACCAGGAAGUCCUUCAGUAUCAUGAGUGGGUAAAUAAACUGUGGUACAUCCAGACAGUGGAAUAGUAUUUAGGGCUAGAAAGAAAUGAGCUACCAAGCCAUGAAAUGGCAUGGAGGAAACUUAAAUGCCUAUUGCUAUGUGAAAGAAGCCGAUCUGAAAAGGCUACACACUGUACGAUUCCAACUAUAUGACGUUCUGGAAAAGACAGAACUAUGGGAACAGUAGAAAGAUCUGUGGUUUCCAGGGGUUGGGGGAAGGGAGCACAGGGGUUCAGAGGUGGAGCACAGAGGAUCUUUCGGGCGGUGACACACAUUAUUCUGUGUAGAAUAAUGGUGGAUAAGGGUCGUUGUACAUUUGACCAAACACAUGGAACCCAUAGCCCUCAUGUAAACCAUGGGCUGCGGGUGACACUGAUGUGCCAGUGCAGGUCCCUCAUGCACCCCUCUGCUGGGGAUGUGAUAGAGGGGGAGGCUGUGCACAUGUAGGAGCUGGGGGUGUAUGGGAACUCUCUGUACUUUCUGCUCAGUUUUUCUGUGAACCUAAAACUAUUCUAAAAAUAAUUAAGUCUAUUUAAAAAUCAAAACACAACAGCCCAGUGCACGGCCCUCCCUGUUCUCCCAAAGCUCACAUUCUAGUGGGGAGUCAGACACAGAAACAGACACAGCCAAGUAGGCAGUCACUGCAGUGAUGAGGCAGCCACAGGGGGCUGUGGAAACUCAAGACGGGGCCACUACAGUGGCAUCAGGGAAGGCUUCCUGAAGGAGGUGUUGCCUCCAGUGGGUAUUGACGUGCAGCAGGAGUUGCCCAGCUGGAGAUCAGGGCAGGCACUAAAGGCAGCAUGCACAAGGCACCGAGGAGUGAGGAGUUGCGGGAGCAGCGGAAGUUCCUAGUGCAGCGUGGGGGUGCUCCGUGCACAGAUAAAUUGCGGGCGGCGGGCAACAGGACCCUGGGUGUCCCCAGAACCUCGCGGACCGGCCCCAGGGUUGAAUCCCAGGUCUGGCUUGCAGAGGCGCCUCGGCACGUGUGCAGCGACACCUGGCGGUGGCACUUGGAACUGCGGACGGUUGCAAAGGAGCGGACAGCUGAGAGGUGGUGCCGGCGAUGCGGGCCAGCGCGGGCUGGGCCAGGGAGACGCAGGUGGCAGGGACCGAGGGCUGCGUCCCACAGCAGCUUCCAGGACCUGGAGAAAAAUCGACACAGAAACUGAGGCCCAGAGGAGUUGAAUAUUUGGCCCAGGCCACACAGGAAGUCCAGCCAGCGCUGAUGAAAGACUGAGGAUUGGGUGGGACAGGAUGCCUGGCCUUUCUGAGCCUUGCUGUCCUUGUCUGCUGUGUCGG